UAAACCCUAGAGAACAGCUUUAAGAAUCUUAUUACUCCAGAGCUCUAUGACAGUCAUUGCAUUAGCUGGGAUGACUUUAUGCUGUUCUCUGGUAAUAAAUAAGCCACAAAAUCCCAUCGUAUUAACAUGAGGGACGUUUAUUACGUACUCGUGCUGUCUGGAGGUAGGUGGGUGCCCUCCUGCAUUCUGUAGCUUCACUAGCGACAGCACGUUUUCCCAGGGUGCAGUGGCAAAGAAAAAUAACAGGUGAGGGAGGUAUAUAGAAGCUCUUAAAUUCUUGGUUCUGCCUUGGAGAGGUUCCAGAGAACAGGAAAACCUGUUUAGAAGGCUUUGGUAAUGGUCUGGGCUAGAGAAAAUUGUGUAAUGAGCUAGUGUUGAGCAAACGGAGAUUUGGGAGCUUGAACUCUGGCAUCUUAGUGAGUGUAGGCAAUGACACCCCAAAGAGACCCAGUGAAUAGUGACAGUGUCAAAAUUGAUUCUUCCUGACUGGAAUACCACCCCCUAUCUCAAGCACAUGUUCGCUCUUCUGCCUACCUUUAAACUCCUGGUGUGAAGAAAUAAAGAGAGAGGUGAUGCAGCCAUGGGGCAGUCUGCAGGAGUUCAGGAAAAAGCACAAGAGGGCGCUCCUUUCUUCAGAUAAGGCAUAUUUCCACAUUUGCGUGGUGGUUUGACAUCCCUUGGUCCCUCUUCUCUGUGCAUAUUACCUGCCUUCUUCAGUUACUCUUCAGCUGCCAGGGGCAGGCAGGCUCUUUCUAAAGGGGCACAGACUCUCCAGAAGAUCCCACACAGAACCCACAGAUUCUGAGACCAGAUCAUCGCCUGUCAGGGUGUUCACGGGUGCAGAGCCCUUUGUCUUCCACACAGCUCUCCAGCCAUGCGCUCCGACUUCGGCUCACUGCUUGCUGUGGUCCUGCUGCUGAUUCUCAGGAGAACCCACGGAGACUCAGUGACACAGACAGAAGGCCCAGUUACCCUCUUUGAGGAGGCAGCUCUGACCUUGAACUGCACUUACCAGACCAGUAGAACAGUUUUCCUUUUCUGGUAUGUCCAGUAUGUUAAUAAAGCUCCUCAACUCCUGAAGAGUUCAUUGGACAAGCAGAAGACAGAGAACGAAGGUUUUUAUGCCAAUCACAUUAAGGAUGACAGCUCCUUCCACCUGCAGAAACGCUCCGUGCAAACGUCAGACUCUGCUGUGUACUACUGCGCGAUGAGAGACACAGUGGGAGGGACUGCAGGGGGAGCUGAGCACAAACCAGAGAGGGCAGGUGGGGCCUGGGUGAGGCAGCCCUGGGAGGGAGAGUUAUGGCUUCUCCCCAGGUGGUGUCUUGGACUGGGGACAGCUAGAGGAAAAGGAACAAAUUUUAACCUUGAGCCUUAGAACGCAGGAGCCCUGGUGCUACUCUGAGCAAGAAAUAGAGUUAGGGAAUCUAAGGCAAACUCGAUUUCCUAUUUCCAGAAAUGUUUCUGUUUCCAGUCAGGAUGCACUUCUUUCCUCCAGAUGGAAAAACAUCCCCUGGUAAAUAUUUACUCAACUUCUGUGUGGUUCCUCUGCUAAGAGAAUCUGGAUUUGGUCUCUUCUGGCAUAUCUCCAUCUCUAAAUAUUGAAAACUUUAAGGACUUUUUUUAAAAAAAUCAUUUUUAGGGCAAAUAUCUUAAAGACUAAAUGAGAUACUGGGAAUGCAGCCUGACCAACAUCGGCACAUGCCUCUGUUGCUGAUGGAUGUUCCCUUCCUUACAAGUACAGAAGAUGUAGAGACCCCAUCCUGCCUUCAUUCCUUUCUCCAGUUCUUCCUUCCUUCCUUUGCAACUGCUCAAAAACACUGCUGGAAAGGAGAUUUUUUAGGAAAGCCUCUGCCCUCCUUGGAGUCUCUUCCUACAUUCUGGUUUGCACAGCUAGUGAGAAUCAGCCCAGUGGGGAAAGGCUGUGAGGAGAGCCUCAUUGUGGCUUUUAACUUACACCCCAAAUAAGCGAUGUGGGGAAGUGCCUGGAUUUCUUUUUAAAUUAUUUUAUUUAACUUCUAUUUAUUUUAACUUGACCAGAGAGGGACAGAGUGUAUGUGUGAGAGAAAGUGAGAAAGCAAGCUGCCAGGUCUGGACUCUAACCAUGUGGGAGUCCAGCGCCCUCAACCCCCAUGCCACCUGCCGGCUCCAGGGAAGUGUCUGGAUAUCUUAUUUUAGGCUCAGUUUGUUCCUGAUGAAUUACAGUAAGAAGUGUUUUGGUUGAAUCAGUUCUUUCUUUGUGUUUGAAAGAAUGUCUGCUCAUCAUUCAUGUACUUGCCUGUAUACAAAGGAAGCCUGAUCUCUUUAGAGUGCUGCUUUAAGUCAACCAUGGGUCUUUCUCCUUGGGAAAUCCUUUAGUGUCAAUGUGUGUAAAAACAUAGGGAUGGGUGAAUUGUCUUUCUUAGUGGCUGGCAAGUUAGACCCAGAUGGUGAUGCUGUAUUGCCUAGGACCAGGAAAGAAAGAAAUAAGAGUUUCUCACUGAAACUCUGUUCACAUUUUGGAUUUCAGAACUGGGACCUUACGUGGCUUAAGAACAAUCAGAGACUCCAGCAGCUGCAGUGGCGACCCUAUGAUUUCAGUAGGACCAUGAGGAUUUAUAGAGAAGUGAGAAAGCCUGGGAAAUAUUUGCCCCAUUGCAAACUACAUGGGCUCCGUGCAGUCUCUUUGAGACCUCAGUGGACUUGUGGGAAAAUAUAAUUUCAAAGAGUUGAUUACGGGCUGAGCUCUGCCCCUCCCAUUAGAGUGUUGAGAUUUUUUUUUGUUUGUUUGUUUGUUUGU